GACGAACGCUGGCGGCGUGCUUAACACAUGCAAGUCGAACGGAAAGGCCCUGCUUUUGUGGGGUGCUCGAGUGGCGGACGGGUGAGUAACACGUGAGUAACCUGCCCUUGACUUUGGGAUAACUUCAGGAAACUGGGGCUAAUACCGGAUAGGAGCUCCUGCUGCAUGGUGGGGGUUGGAAAGUUUCGGCGGUUGGGGAUGGACUCGCGGCUUAUCAGCUUGUUGGUGGGGUAGUGGCUUACCAAGGCUUUGACGGGUAGCCGGCCUGAGAGGGUGACCGGCCACAUUGGGACUGAGAUACGGCCCAGACUCCUACGGGAGGCAGCAGUGGGGAAUAUUGCACAAUGGGCGGAAGCCUGAUGCAGCAACGCCGCGUGCGGGAUGACGGCCUUCGGGUUGUAAGCCGCUUUCGCCUGUGACGAAGCGUGAGUGACGGUAAUGGGUAAAGAAGCACCGGCUAACUACGU
rnacentral:rRNA from 1 species